rnacentral:rRNA from 1 species
UGGUGGAGCAUGUGGUUUAAUUCGAUGAUACGCGAGGAACCUUACCAAGACUUAAAUGGGAAAUGACAGGUUUAGAAAUAGACCCUUCUUCGGACAUUUUUCAAGGUGCUGCAUGGUUGUCGUCAGCUCGUGCCGUGAGGUGUUAGGUUAAGUCCUGCAACGAGCGCAACCCCUGUCACUAGUUGCUAACAUUCAGUUGAGGACUCUAGUGAGACUGCCUACGCAAGUAGAGAGGAAGGUGGGGAUGACGUCAAAUCAUCACGGCCCUUACGUCUUGGGCCACACACGUAAUACAAUGGCCGGUACAGAGGGCAGCUACACAGCGAUGUGAUGCAAAUCUCGAAAGCCGGUCUCAGUUCGGAUUGGAGUCUGCAACUNCGACUCUANGAAGCNNGAAUCGC